AUCCCAUGAUGAGAACACUUACGAAGUAAUUCCUUGAAUCCUUCCAUGACACAUACAAGGAUUCGUCAUCCAAUUGUGAAAAAGUGGUUAUCUCAUUUCACAACUU
rfam:Gossypium arboreum cultivar AKA8401 contig_58370_1, whole genome shotgun sequence.